UGAGUAAAGUGGCGCACGGGUGAGUAACACGUGACUAACCUACCCUGGGGUGGGGGAUAACUGGGAGAAAUCCUAGCUAAUACCGCAUAACACCUACGGGUCAAAGGAGCAAUUCGCUUCAGGAGGGGGUCGCGGUCGAUUAGUUUGUUGGCGGGGUAAUGGCCCACCAAGACUAUGAUCGAUAUCCGGCCUGAGAGGGCGCACGGACACACUGGAACUGAAACACGGUCCAGACUCCUACGGGAGGCAGCAGUGGGGAAUUUUGCGCAAUGGGGGAAACCCUGACGCAGCAACGCCGCGUGGAGGAUGAAGUACUUCGGUACGUAAACUCCUUUCGAUCGGGACGAUAAUGACGGUACCGGAAGAAGAAGCCCCGGCUAACUUCGUGCCAGCAGCCGCGGUAAUACGAGGGGGGCAAGCGUUGUUCGGAAUUAUUGGGCGUAAAGGGUGCGUAGGCGGUUUGGUAAGUCUUUUGUGAAAUCUACAGGCUCAACUUGUAGACUGCAAGGGAAACUGCCGGGCUUGAGUAUGGGAGAGGUGAGUGGAAUUC
rnacentral:rRNA from 1 species